GGUGCAGCUGCAGCGGAAGGGGGCGCACGACUCAGCUACGUCUGUCACCAGCCUCAACUCUCGUCGACGGCUCGCCGCAGCUGCAGCACAGCAGCCAUGCUCUGCUGCGGCCGCAGGAAAAAACACUUGGUCGAAUUAACACCGAAAAGAUAUUGACUGGGACAGAUACAAGAUCGGUGGAUUAAUUCUAUUUCAGUGUCUCUGAUAUUAUGCUGGAAUACUUGUGGAAUCAAUAUUAAGUUCCCAAAAGCAUUUUAUGAAUUCAAUAAAAGUGACCUAGUUGAAGAGGAACACUCUGAUGUGUGCUUGGUGAAAGUAGAACAAGACAAAUAGAAUGAGAUAUAUGUGUGUGUGUGUGUGUCUGUAUUAACUACAGAAAGAGGAGUUUCCCGAAAAUUUUAUUGCAUUCGUCUACCAUUCAGAAAAUUCGACUCUUAAACCAUUAACUACAAAAAAGUUUUAUAACUGAUCCAUGAAAACACAAUUUUAACCUGGGAAAAGAAUAUUCAAUUUAUAUUGCAAUCUAUAUAUAUUUUUUAUAUUGCAAUCUCAGUAAUAUAUCAUCAAAAAUCAAAUUUGACUAACUUGAUAAAUUAAGCAGAAAUAUU